UACAGAGGUCUCAAGCGUUGUUCGGAAUCACUGGGCGUAAAGGGUGCGUAGGCGGCACGGUAAGUCAGAGGUGAAAUCCCGGAGCUCAACUCCGGAAUUGCCUCCGAUACUGCCGUGCUCGAGGACUGGAGAGGAGUCUGGAAUUCACAGUGGAGCAGUGAAAUGCGUAGAUAUUGUGAGGAACACUAGUGGCGAAGGCGAGACUCUGGACAGUUCCUGACGCUGAGGCACGAAGGCCAGGGGAGCAAACGGG
rnacentral:rRNA from 1 species